rnacentral:lncRNA from 1 species
GGCAGCCAUCUAGAGCCACUUUGAUGUGGCCAGAUCACUUGGAAGUGACCAACAGCGCCUCAACCGAUCAGAGGAUGGAAAUGCUGGUCACCUAGUGGGAUGGCCCCCCACAGAUCCAUGAGGGACUCUAGUUUUGAAAGCCCGGGUGCCUUAUCUGCCAUGUGUCCCUUGGGAGCCGUGCCUCCCAGGUGCACCAGAGCAUGGGCCAGGCUGGACCAUGGAUCAAGCAGUCUCCAGAUCCACGAUGGCUCAUUUCCAUCCAGGCUCCGUGCCCAGGAGAGGUGACAGGUUUUAACUGUGGUCCUGACCCCAGGACCAGGCCGGCCCCUGGCCAACCAAACACCACGCCUCCUACUGUGCAGGGGUGGGGCAGCAGGUGGCAGCCCAGUGUGGUGCUAGGAGUGACGUGGCAAUAGCAUCUGGACCAGCAGAGCCGUGCUGGGAUUUCUACAGUCCCUGAGCCACCUCAGCUCCUCCUUCUCACAGGCUUGUGUCCGGGAGGCCCCAUCACUGGCCGACCCAGGGAGGCCCAGCGCACAGGCUCCUGAGCAGCCACUGGCUCCUGGGCACAGCAGGAGCCACAGGGUAAGCAGAGGCCUGGGGGCAGCAGUUCUGCGGUCUGUCCAGAGGUCAGCAGCACAGCUCUGAGCCUCGGCACCCAUCCACUCCCCAGUCUUAGGAAGCUGCACUCUCGGGGCAGCAUGUCCAGCCAGUGUCCAGUUGGGUGCUGCCGGGCUGAGGAUGGCCUCCUCUUGAUGGGGUUUUUCUGGCUGCCAACCCCUGCUCACCCAGAUGGCUCAGGCCCACCUGCCACCCCUCCUCCUGCCCCGGGGACGUGGGGCCUGGCAGACGUCAUGGAGGGCACACCAUCCAGGUGCAGAUGGCCCCUGGGCCAGGACCAGCUGGCCCCUGGGCCACACUGGGAAGGGAAGCUCCUGCCCAGGGCUGCGAGAAGCACCAAUGUUGCUGCUCAGCCUCCUCCAAGGUGUGUUAAAAAUGGGACCAGCAGAGGCACCUCGUCCUCCAUGCGCCAGUGACACUGACAAUGAGACUAAAAAUAACAGGCGCUUCUCCUGCAGGCGAGAGUGCGAGCUCACGCUGCCUCCCGCACAGCGGCUCCCUCCCACACCACCGAGGGGCACAGAGCCAGGCAGCUGGAGCCACAGAGCAGAGCAGGGCCCUGGGCCCCUGGACCCCCACAGAUGGCCGCAAAUCCCACCUGACCAGCUGGCGUCACUGCCCAUGCACACUUGGACCCCACCAGCCAAUGGUUUUUGGAGUGGACUGGGAAAGGGCAGUGAAGGGCCACUUGGGCCUGUCUUUCCUGCUUCAGAACCGCUCUGGACUUUCUCCUGGUGCCAUUGGAUGUCCCUGUCCAGUGAGGAGGCUGGCAUGUUGGGGCAGUGGGCAUCACCUGAGCAGCACCAACCUCUCUCUCCCCUGGCUCAUGGCAGAGGGGUCUCCAACCUAGAGCUAGGGCCACAGGCUCCAGAAGCUCCAAAGUCCCUCCUCCACAGGUCAGGAGGCCGGGAGCAGGGGAGGUAGUCCAGUGGGUGGUGUAGGCCAGGUGAGGCCCCCGCCCUUGCUCCCCACCUGUUCGCCAUGUCCCCUGCCCUGUCGGGACAUGCCCCAGCAGUGCCACCUGGGAGCUCAGGGCUUGCACAGCCUAGACUGGGGCCCCUCACAAGUUCCUCCCAGUGGAGGGGCUGAGAGCCUCCUGCACCCCUGCUCCUACCCACUCCACAUUCCCUGGCCACAGCUCCAGCACAUGGACCUGGACUUGUGGGACUUGUGAGGCGACAGGAGGCACAGGAAUCUCAAGCCCAGAGAGCACCCAGGGCACCAGGCUCCUCCUGUCUCCUCCCAUCUGCCAACAUGUCCUCCCUGCCAAGUGGGGCAGGGCCCGGGAGGAGGUCGCAGAGCCACCUCUAGAUGGGGUCUCUCCACUGGGGCCUGGCUUGGAGACAGUGGAGUCAGGGUCCCCUCCAACCAGAUGCUCUGGGGCAAGAGCCACGGCCUCCAUGCAGGCAGCAGCUCUGUCCCUGCCACGCCUGCAGGGCUCCAUGGCAUCCACAUUGCCCAGUCUCUGCCCAGGCCCUCUGGACAGGACCUGGUACCCAGAAUGGGGGAGGCACAGGAACCUCAAGCCCAGAGAGCACCAAGGGCUUGAGCCGGUGUUGAGGGAUGACUCUUGCUGAGGGUCACCAAGGACCCCACCCACCCUUCCUCUGGCCCUCAGGAGACCAGCCUGCCUCCAGUUCCCUGGCCAUCUACUCCCAGGCCAAGGAGAGAAUGAGGCCCUUGUGUGGGGACAGAAGCCCCUGCAGGCCAGGGUGUGCAGACAGGGCCCCGUCCAGUCGUGCUCCACUGUCCCAGGGUGGUGGCAGCAGCUUCUUGGCUCCCUUCCCCUCCCAGGAGGCGGGCAGCUCUGCCAGCUGUCUCCAGAAAGUGUUUGUGAUCCG